rnacentral:rRNA from 1 species
UACGGAGGGUGCAAGCGUUAUCCGGAUUCACUGGGUUUAAAGGGUGCGUAGGCGGGUAGGUAAGUCAGUGGUGAAAGCCCAUCGCUCAACGGUGGAACGGCCAUUGAUACUGCUGGACUUGAAUUAUUGGGAAGCAACUAGAAUAUGUAGUGUAGCGGUGAAAUGCUUAGAGAUUACAUGGAAUACCAAUUGCGAAGGCAGGUUGCUACCAAUUGAUUGACGCUGAUGGACGAAAGCGUGGGUAGCGAACAGG